rnacentral:tRNA from 1 species
GGGGGGAUAGCGUAGUGGUAAAGCGCCUAGUAUUCCUCUACCGUAGUAGAGGUUAAAGGUUCGAAUUCUUCUCUCCUUA